AGUGAACGCUGGCGGUAGGCCUAACACAUGCAAGUCGAACGGCAGCACAGUAAGAGCUUGCUCUUACGGGUGGCGAGUGGCGGACGGGUGAGGAAUACAUCGGAAUCUACUUUUUCGUGGGGGAUAACGUAGGGAAACUUACGCUAAUACCGCAUACGACCUACGGGUGAAAGCAGGGGAUCUUCGGACCUUGCGCGAUUGAAUGAGCCGAUGUCGGAUUAGCUAGUUGGCGGGGUAAAGGCCCACCAAGGCGACGAUCCGUAGCUGGUCUGAGAGGAUGAGCAGCCACACUGGAACUGAGACACGGCCCAGACUCCUACGGGAGGCAGCAGUGGGGAAUAUUGGACAAUGGGCGCAAGCCUGAUCCAGCCAUACCGCGUGGGUGAAGAAGGCCUUCGGGUUGUAAAGCCCUUUUGUUGGGAAAGAAAAGCAGCAGGUUAAUACCCCGCUGUUCUGACGGUACCCAAAGAAUAAGCACCGGCUAACUUCGUG
rnacentral:rRNA from 1 species